rnacentral:rRNA from 1 species
GACGAACGCUGGCGGCGUGCCUAAUACAUGCAAGUCGACCUUAGUGGCGAACGGGUGCUUAACACGUGUGUAACCUACCCAUCAGAAUGGGAUCACACUUGGAAACAGGUGCUAAUACCUUAUACUGAUGGAUGGACCCGCGGUGCCUUAGCUAGUUGUUGAGGUACCGGCUCACCAAGGCCACGAUGCAUAGCCGACAUGAGAGGGGGAUCUGCCAAAUUGGGACUGAGACACGGCCCAAACUCCUACGGGAGGCAGCAGUAGGGAAUCUUCGGCAAUGGACGAAAGUCUGACCGAGCAACGCAGCGUGAGUGAAGAAGGUUGUCGGAUCGUAAAACUCUGUGGUUAGAGAAGCGGUAUCUAACCAGAAAGCCACGGCUAACUACGUGCCAGCAGCCGCGGUAAUAC